rnacentral:rRNA from 1 species
GACGAACGCUGGCGGCGUGCCUAACACAUGCAAGUCGAACGGACAGGCCCUGCUUUUGUGCGGUGGUCGAGUGGCGAACGGGUGAGUAACACGUGAGUAACCUGUCCCUGACUGAGGGAUAACUUCAGGAAACUGGGGCUCUUAUCGGAUAGGAUCUCUUGCCGCAUGGUGGGCGUUGGUAAGAUUCGGCGGUUGGGGAUGGUCUCGCGGCUUCUCAGCUUGUUGGUGGGGUAGGGGCUUACCAAGGCUUUGACGGGUAGCCGGCCUGAGAGGGGAGCCGGCCACAAUACGACUGCGAUACGGCCCAGACGCGAAUGGGACGCAGCGGUGGAGAGUAUUACACAGCGGGCGGGAGCCAGAUACGACGACGCCGCGAGCGGGAUAACGGGCUUCGAGUUGUAAACCAAUUUCGUAUGUGCCGAGGCGUGAGUGACGGUACUGGGUAAAGAAGCCCCGGCUAACUACGUG